GCCAUAUGCUGCUGGUGAGCGUGGUGGGAUGUGUUUAUGUUGGAUACAACCUGGAGCCCUGCACCGGAGCAUCUCACUACCAGGAGAACUGGUGUGGUGGAGGAGAGAAGCGUGAAGCCAUUUCUAUCCCAGCACACCCAGCGAUGCUGUGUUUUUUUGCAAAAGGACUGUUUGGGCAACGCUUUGCGGAGCAAGUCUAUCGGUGCCAUUUUCCCAACAGCCUGGGUUCACUUCAUGUCUCUGAGUCACAUUUUGGUAAUUUUCUCAAUAUUUCGAACUUUUCAUUAUUGUUAUAUCUACUAUGGUGAUCUGUGAUCAUGUCUUGGUUGUUACUAUUGUAAUCGUUUGGGGGUGCCAAGACCUGUGACCAUAUAAGAUGGCAAACUUAAUUGAUGAAUGUCGUGUGUGUUUUCUGACUCCUCCAUCAAUAGGCUGUCCCCCACCCCCACCCCCCCACCAUAUCUCUUCCUCUCCUCAGGCCUCCCUAUUCCCUAAUUAGCAAUUAGGCUAAUUAAUAAUCCUACAAUGGCCUCUGAGUAUUUGAGUGAAAAGAAGAGUCACAUAUCUCUCAUUUUAAAUCAAAAACUAGAAAUGAUUAUGCUUAGUGAGGAAGACAUGUCAAAAGCUGAAAAGGCUAAAAGUUAGGCCUUUUGCACUAAACAGACAAGCUGUGAAUGCAAAGGAAAAAUUCUUGAGGGAAAUUAAAAGGGCUACUUAAGCAAACACACAAAUGAUAAGAAAGCAAAACAGGCUUAUUGCUGAUAUGGAGAAAGUUUUCAUGGUCUGGAUAGAAGAUCUAACCAGCCACAACAUUCCCUUAAGCCAAAGCCUAAUAAUCCAGUGCAAGGCCCUAACUCUCUUCAAUUCUAUGAAAGCUGAGAGAAGUGAGGAAGCUACAGAAGAAAAUUUACAAGGUAGCAGAGGUUUAAGGAAAGAAGCCAUUUCCAUAACAUAAUAGUGCAAAGUGAAGCAGCAAGUGCUGAUGUAGAAGCUGCAGCAAGUGAUCCAGAAGAUCUAGCUAAGAUGAAGGUGGCUAUACUAAACAAUAGACUUUCAAUGGCAAAAACUGCAAUUACUUUUGUACCAGCCUAAUAGAAGAAAUUGCCUUUCACUGGAAAAAGAUGUCAUCUAGGACUUUCAUAGCCAAAGAGAAGUCAAAGCCUGGUUUCAAAGCUUCAAAAGACAUGCUGACUCUAUAGUUAGGAGUUAACGCAAUUGGGUACUUUAAGUUGAAGCCAAUGCUCAUGACCAUUGUGAAAAUGUUUGAGCUCUUAAGAAUUAUGCUGAAACUCCUCUGCCUGUGCUCUAUAAAUGGAACAACAAAGCCUGAUGACAGCACAUCUGUUUAAAGCAUGGUUAGCUGAAUAUUUUAAGCCCACUGUUGAGAUCUACUGCUCAGAAAGAAAGAUUCCUUUCAAAAUAUUACUGCUCACUGACAAUUUACCUAGUCACCCAAGAGCUUAAUGGAUAUGUACAAGGAGAUUAAUAUUGUUUUAAUGCUUGCUAACACAACAUC
rnacentral:lncRNA from 1 species